AAUGAACGUUGGCGGCGUGGAUUAGGCAUGCAAGUCGAGCGAGAAGUGUAGCAAUACAUGGAAAGCGGCGAAAGGGAUAGUAACACGUAGGUACCUACCCCCGGGUCUGGGAUAGCGGCGGGAAACUGCCAUUAAUACCAGAUGAUGUCUCCGGACCAAAGGUGUGAUUCCGCCUGGGGAUGGGCCUGCGUCCUAUCAGCUAGUUGGUGAGGUAAUGGCUCACCAAGGCAAUGACGGGUAGCGGGUGUGAGAGCACGACCCGCAUCACUGGGACUGAGACACUGCCCAGACACCUACGGGAGGCUG
rnacentral:rRNA from 1 species